GACUGCAGUCCUUAGCAGAGGACUCUGCCAAGCUGUGCCAGGACUCCUGACCUGCAGAAAUUGUGAGCU
rnacentral:lncRNA from 1 species